rnacentral:rRNA from 1 species
GAUGAACGCUGGCGGCGUGCCUAAUACAUGCAAGUCGAGCGAACGGACGAGAAGCUUGCUUCUCUGAUGUUAGCGGCGGACGGGUGAGUAACACGUGGAUAACCUACCUAUAAGACUGGGAUAACUUCGGGAAACCGGAGCUAAUACCGGAUAAUAUUUUGAACCGCAUGGUUCAAAAGUGAAAGACGGUCUUGCUGUCACUUAUAGAUGGAUCCGCGCUGCAUUAGCUAGUUGGUAAGGUAACGGCUUACCAAGGCAACGAUGCAUAGCCGACCUGAGAGGGUGAUAGGCCACACUGGAACUGGGACACGGUCCAGACUCCUACGGGAGGCAGCAGUAGGGAAUCUGCCGCAAUGGGCGAAAGCCUGACGGAGCAACGCCGCGUGAGUGAUGAAGGUCUUCGGAUCGUAAAACUCUGUUAUUAGGGAAGAACAUAUGUGUAAGUAACUGUGCACAUCUUGACGGUACCUAAUCAGAAAGCCACGGCUAACUACGUG